CAGUCGCCGCGGUAAUACGAAGGGGGCUAGCGUUGCUCGGAAUCACUGGGCGUAAAGGGUGCGUAGGCGGGUCUUUAAGUCAGGGGUGAAAUCCUGGAGCUCAACUCCAGAACUGCCUUUGAUACUGAAGAUCUUGAGUUCGGGAGAGGUGAGUGGAACUGCGAGUGUAGAGGUGAAAUUCGUAGAUAUUCGGAGGAACACCAGUGGCGAAGGCGGCUCACUGGCUCGAUACUGACGCUAAUGCGUGAAAGCGUGGGGAGCAAACAGGAUUAGAUACCCCCGUAGUCCCUGUCUCUUAUAC
rnacentral:rRNA from 1 species